rnacentral:rRNA from 1 species
CCUACGGGAGGCAGCAGUGGGGAAUAUUGCACAAUGGGGGGAACCCUGAUGCAGCGACGCCGCGUGAGUGAAGAAGUAUUUCGGUAUGUAAAGCUCUAUCAGCAGGGAAGAAAAUGACGGUACCUGACUACGAAGCCCCGGCUAACUACGUGCCAGCAGCCGCGGUAAUACGUAGGGGGCAAGCGUUAUCCGGAUUUACUGGGUGUAAAGGGAGCGCAGACGGCUGUGCAAGUCUGGAGUGAAAGGCGGGGGCCCAACCCCCGGACUGCUCUGGAAACUGUAAAGCUGGAGUGCAGGAGAGGUAAGCGGAAUUCCUAGUGUAGCGGUGAAAUGCGUAGAUAUUAGGAGGAACACCAGUGGCGAAGGCGGCUUACUGGACUGCAACUGACGUUGAGGCUCGAAAGCGUGGGGAGCAAACAGGAUUAGAUACCCGAGUAGUC